rnacentral:rRNA from 1 species
AGAGUUUGAUCCUGGCUCAGAACGAACGUUGGCGGCGUGGAUUAGGCAUGCAAGUCGAACGAAUCCCCGGUAGCAAUACUGGGGGGAAGUGGCGAAAGGGGCAGUAAGGCGUGGGUAACCUACCCCGGGGUCCGGGAUAGCCUUCCUAACGGGAGGGUAAUACCGGGCGACGUGUUCCGAGGGCUUCCUCGGGACACCAAAGGUCCGCCGCCUCGGGAGGGGCUCACGUGGUAUUAGCUUGUUGGUGGGGUAAUGGCCCACCAAGGCCGAGAUGCCUAGCAGGUGUGAGAGCACGACCUGCGCCACUGGCACUGAGACACUGGCCAGACUCCUACGGGAGGCUGCAGUCGAGGAUCUUCAGCAAUGGGCGCAAGCCUGACCGAGCGACGCCGCAUGUGCGAUGAAGGCUUUCGGGUUGUAAAGCACUGUCGAGGGGGAGGAAAGCCCGCAAGGGCCUGACCUAUCCCUGGAGGAAGCACGGGCUAAGUUCGUGCCAGCAGCCGCGGUAAGACGAACCGUGCGAACGUUGUUCGGAUUCACUGGGCUUAAAGGGCGCGUAGGCGGGCGACCAAGUCAGGGGUGAAAUCCUUCGGCUCAACCGGAGAACAGCUUCUGAUACUGGCCGUCUCGAGGGAGGUAGGGGCAGGCGGAACUUCCGGUGGAGCGGUGAAAUGCGUAAAUAUCGGAAGGAACGCCGGUGGCGAAAAGCGGCCUGCUGGACCUCUUCUGACGCUGAAG